rnacentral:rRNA from 1 species
UAGGGAAUCUUGCACAAUGGGCGAAAGCCUGAUGCAGCGACGCCGCGUGCGGGAUGACGGCCCUCGGGUUGUAAACCGCUUUCAGCAGGGACGAAAUUGACGGUACCUGCAGAAGAAGCCCCGGCCAACUACGUGCCAGCAGCCGCGGUAAUACGUAGGGGGCAAGCGUUGUCCGGAUUUAUUGGGCGUAAAGAGCUCGUAGGCGGUUCGACAAGUCGGAUGUGAAAUCUCCACGCUCAACGUGGAGGGGCCAUUCGAAACUGUCGUGACUUGAGUCCGGUAGGGGAGUGUGGAAUUCCCGGUGUAGCGGUGAAAUGCGCAGAGAUCGGGAGGAACACCCGUAGCGAAGGCGGCACUCUGGGCCGUGACUGACGCUGAGGAGCGAAAGCGUGGGGAGCAAACAG